GAAAAUCCGUCGACUUUAGAAAUCGUGAGGGUUCAAGUCCUUUAUCCCC
rnacentral:tRNA from 1 species